rnacentral:rRNA from 1 species
CACGUAGGGCGCAAGCGUUGUCCGGAAUUAUUGGGCGUAAAGAGCUCGUAGGUGGUUUGUUACGUCUGCUGUGAAAACCUAGGGCUUAACCCUGGGCUUGCAGUGGAUACGGGCAGACUAGAGGUAGGUAGGGGAGAAUGGAAUUCCUGGUGUAGCGGUGAAAUGCGCAGAUAUCAGGAGGAACACCGGUGGCGAAGGCAGCUCGCUGGGACGUUACUGACACUGAGGCGCGAAAGCGUGGGGAGCGAACAGG